UCGCAUCCUUGUAGUCGAACGAAACAUCAUUCUCGGAAUUGAUGCGACUUUUGAAUGAUUUAGCAACCAUUUUAAUUAUUGCCUGCGACACCAUGAUGGCGUGUGUGCAAGAACUGCAAGUUGUAUUGUUAGCGGUUAGCUCAUCCAACAAGGGAAUAAAGGAACUUUAGUGCCCUAUCUCAUUCUCAUUUAGUGCUUCUUUCUUUCCUACUCUCCUUCUGCCCAACCUCUGGCAUUUUCUGGGUGACCAUCGACCGUUUACAUCCUCACCUAUCUUCUUUAUUUUUAUCCUCGUAAAUGUUCUUGAUUUUUUAUUCCUUCUUCCUCCUCUCUGUUAUGAUCUUGUUUGUUGGAGCAUCUGUAUUUUCAAGCUCUUAUCCUUUUUCUACAUUUUUUGGGUUCUUAAAAAAAUGGUCUCGUUGCAUGGGAGGAUUCAAGCUUCCGGUAGUGAUGAUCCCACCGAGGCGACUUUGCGGCGAGCAGGCAGUGGCUCAUCCUCCGCCCAUUUGGCCCAGAGAGUAGAGCUUUUGUACUGUGGAGAGGCGAUGCUGCCUUAUAGACGAGUCCUUCGAGGGAAAGGAGAUAGAGAGGGAGGAGGAAGAGAGAAGGGGUGAGGUCUCUUUGAAAGAGGAGGAAGAUAGAGAGGGAGAUCUUGAGGAAGAGGGGGAGGUCCCCUUGGUUGGGGUGAGUGGAUGGAUGAGAGCCACUAGCCUAGUUUUGUGGACUGGGUACCCUUGGUAUUUCGGGAGGCUUAUGCCCAAUGGUUGAGGGAGGACUAUAGAAUUCCCAAGUCUAUACCUUACUUUUCCCCUCUUAACAACCUGUACUUCUUCACAGCCUAGGUGCGUGGAGACCUUCGUUUUCCCGUUCUUUCCUUUUAUUGCAAGGUGGCCUGUAUUUUUUGGGUCCCCUUGAACUAACUCGCGCUUAAAUCCUUUCACUUGAUGGUCGGCUUUUCCGUCGUUGUAAGUUAUAAUGGAGCCAAGCCCUCAAGUGAAAAUCUUUUUUCCUGCUUUCAACUAAGAAAAUCAAAGUCGGGCCUUUUUCAUUUUUCCCCUUGCCAUGGAGUACACUUCAUACCUAUUUGUAAUGUCUCAAGAAUUGGAAGGGGAGCUAUUUCUUUGUGGUGCCACUUAGUAAUGGGAUUUUUCUCAUGAGUGUUGGUGGAUCUCCCUCUGGCCAGGAGUUUCUCCAUUCGUAGAUGGAGUGCUUAGUUGACGGCUUACCAAAGAGGUUGAAUCUUGAGCCCUAUGAUUGUAUGGUGUUGGUGGAUAAGAGACUCCUUUCUCAUUUUCGUUUAAGCCCUCAAGAGAUUCCUCUGGAGAGGCCUUUGGAAUCCAUGAUGUUCAAGAACCUCUUGGGGGAGAGCAUGAGGGAAGUCCUCAACUCCUACCUCCACAGCUCGAGACUCUAUGGGAACUCCUGCCUCCAGUGAGUUUUGAGGGGAAACGCUCGGGCGCAACCUCCUAAAGGGCCUCAAAGUGGUCACUAGGUCUACUUUUGUUCUCCUUCUUCCCCGGAGCCAGGGGAUUUCUACCCCUACCGACUGCUCCACCAUCGAGAGUGGAGCAUUUAUAAUGCCAAGUGGAGCAUUUAUAAUGCCAACCCUUUUUUAAGGGAAUGGGAGGGGGAGACUUUGUUGCUUGGAGACUUCUAUUAGGGGGUUGUGUUGCCAGUGGACAGGCGACACAUGUCUGGCUCCUAUAGAGUGGAGCUUUGAGGUCGUCUAGCUAGCCACCUCGCAUGGCAAUCACUAUCUACAGGGAGGCGAUAAUUGGCCUCUAAGCUCUUUCUCCUCUUCCCCUUCUUCCUGAAGGCACCAUGAAGCGUUUGAAGGAGUGAGUUGCUCGUCUAUGAGAUGAGCUUGCUAAGGAGAUGGGGAUUAAGGAGGAGACUGUGGCUAAGCACAAAUGGUUGGAGAAAAAGCUCUAAAGUCCAAACAAUCAACUAACGACUUCCACCAAAGUUCAGAAGGAAGCUACCUAUAAAGCGGCAAAUGAUGCUCACUUGGGAUUCCUUGACACGAGGAUAGAUAGGCCUAUUUCGAGUCCUUCUAGGAGAGUCAUUUGGUCAACUUCUGAAAGUCAGAAGAUUUCAAUUUUGAUCUGGCUAAUAAGGUUGGGCCCUACUACGUUGAUGGCUUCAAUACCUUCCUAGACAUGGAUGCAGGUCUCGAGGAUGCCCUUGAGCCAGAUGAAAGGAUCAUUCCCCAUGCAGGCCAGGAAGAGCCCUUUAUGGAUUUAGGUGGUUGUUUCUCCCAUAAAGGGCUCUUGCAGAUGAAGAUCUAGAUACCAUCCUAGGGACGAUAAUAUAAGAAGUACAACCCCACCUGCUAUCGAUACACUAGCCACCAUGGAGAUUGACUUCUCCCAGAACCUCCGAAGAGCCUACCUAAGAGCUUGUUAUCCUCCCUUAGCCAAGAAGAUCCUUGAAAGAAUAUCUACUCACCAUUCACAUCGAGCAAGAGGUAACCUCCAUUGUGGGAGAGAGUUAAAACAAAAACCAAACCCCCCUCCCAAUUCUGAGAAAGAGGUUUUUAUAGAAAAAAUAAUUCCUGUUUGUGGUUCUUGCAUUGGGGAUGAAUGUUGGUUGCAUGUGGUCUUUUGAACAAUUUUGGUUAUUUUCACUUGUUGGUGUAUGUUUUUUUUUUUUCUUGCUUCCCUAACUGGUUUAGUUGGGACCUUUGAUGAAUGGUAUUGCUUUUCUCAACUCAUCUUGUUGGGGUUUACUGCCCGUUCUUCCAUUCAUCAUUUGUCUACUUGCUUUAGUUAUCGGUUCAUCAGUUGAAUUUAAGGGUUUGUCAUCCUUGUCAUUGUUGUAACGUCCCUUUAUUCAAUGCUUUAAUCCCUUGCGAACUGAAGAGUUCCUUAGUUUCAGAAUGAAGCCUGUGUAAAGUAAAGCUUACAUGACAUAGUAUGUGUGCUCCAAAUAGUGCUUGCUUCUACUAAGUGCUGAAUUUGUUGUUAUUUUCUAAAGGACACCUGCAAAAGAAGCAGGGUUUAUUUAGGGGAAGAUGUCUAUCCAAGAACAUGGCUUAUUUAUAAGAGGGUACUUGUCUAGGGAUAAGGUUUAUCCUGAAGGGGUACUUGCUCAAAGGCAAGGGUUAUUGCUAAGGGAGUUCUUUUUAGAGACAAGACUUAUUCUUGAGAGGACGCUUUCAAAGGUAGGGCUUUCUUUGAGAGAUGCCUACCUAGGGGCAAGGCUUAUAGUUUAGAGGAAGCUUGCUAAACACAAGGCUUGUCUUUGAAAUAUUCCUGCCUAGGAAAGAGCUUAUUUUUCAAGGGGUGCCUACCUAGAGGCAUUGCUUAGUUCUUAGAGGACGAUAGGGAUUUUCUUUGAGACAGCUUGCCUAAGGGCAAGGUUUAUUUCUGAAGGGGGUGUCUGCAUAGAGGUAAGGCUUAUUUUUUAGAAGGCGCCUGCCAGGAGCAAGGCGUCUGCUUGAGGGAAAGGUUAUUUAUGAAAAUGUGCUUGUCUAGGAACAAGGCUUGGCUUAAGCAUAGACUAUUUAAAGUUAUGGACAUACCAUGGUCGUGAUAGAGGUCCCCCUUCUUGGUCUUCUAACUCAUAAGCUCUAUGCCCUAGGCUCCUCAUUAUCAUAUACGACCCUUCCCAAUUAGGGUCUAAUUUGCCUACUAAUUUUAGUGUCUCGACCCAAAAGACUAAGUCUCCCUUUUAGAAGUCUUAAGGCUUUAUUAAUCUAUUAUGGGCAUAGAUAAUCACAUUUUUGUAAUACUGCAUACAGAGGAAAGCCUUCUGUAGGACUCUUUGAUGAGUCCAGGUUUUUCCUCUGGAGAUGGGUGUUCUCUUCCUCUAAGUAGUGUUAUAUUCAAUGGGAGGGCAUCCCUACUUUGGCAGGGAUGACACUGUCGGUUUCAUAUACUAAGGUGAAGAGACAUCCUCCAGUAGAUGUUCUAGGGGGUCAUACUAUAAGCUCAUAAGAAAUUGGGAAUUCCUCAUCCCAAUUUCCCCCCGCUUGGUCUAGUCUUCUUUUAAUCCCUCGCGCUAGUACUCAGUUGGGGACUUGUACUUGUCCAUUAUCUUGAGGAUGAGUUAUCGUAGUAAACCUUUUCAUAAUUCAAAGCCCUUUACACUAAUCUUGAAAAUGUGUGACCUUGAAAUUGUGAACCAUUGUCCGAGAUAAGCUCUCGAGGAAGACCGAACUAACAAAUUACGGUUUGCCAUAUGAAUUUCUUGACUUCCCCCUUAGUGAUGUGGGAGAGGGGUUCACUUCCACCCAUUUGGUGAAGUAGUCAAUGUACUAAGAGGAAUUUCCUCUAGUGGGGGCCCAAGGAAAAGGGUCCAACCAUGUCUACAUCCCAUUGGGAGAAGAGAGAGAGGGCCUAUAAGGUAGUUAGGGGUUCUGCUGGAUGGUUAAUAAGAGUUCAAUGUUGUUAACAUUUAUCACAACUGCGGACUAAUUGAUGCGUCUCAUGUUUCAUAGUAUGCCAAAAGUAUCCCGCUCGUAGAGCCUCUCCGAUCAACAUCAUAAGUCUUGCAUUACUCUCGUGACACCCACUGUGUAUUUCCUUAAAAAGACAUACUAUUCGUCUUUUGAGAUUAGGCACCUUAGUAGGGGAUGAGUGAAUGCUUUUUUGUAUAGGGUAUCUGAAAGAAUUGAGCAUAGCGCGGGAACACAAUGAAAGUAUAAAAACAAAAGCAAUUUAAACCACUUAAACCCUUUCAAAUGGGUGUACGUUUAUGGUGUUUG